CCUACGGGUGGCAGCAGUGGGGAAUAUUGCACAAUGGACGGAACUCUGAUCCAGCGACGCCGCGUGCGGGAAGAAGGUUUUCGGAUUGUAAACCUCUGUCUUCGGUGACGAAACGAGACGGUAGCCGAGGAGGAAGCCACUGCUAACUACGUGCGAGCAGCCGCGGUAAUACGGAGGUGGCAAGCAUUGUCCGGGAUUACUGGGUGUAAAGGGAGCGGAGGCGGCAAAGAAAGGUGAAUGGUUAAGGUUCGGGCUAAACCUGGACAAGCGUUAAAAACUGUUUUUCUUGAGUGGAGUAGAGGUAAGCGGAAUUCCUAGUGUAGCGGUGAAAUGCGUAAAUAUUAGGAGGAACACCAGUGGCGAAGGCGGCUUACUGGGCUUUAACUGACGCUGAGGCUCGAAAGCGUGGGUAGCAAACAGGAUUAGAUACCCCUGUAGAC
rnacentral:rRNA from 1 species